rnacentral:rRNA from 1 species
AUACGGAGGAUGCAAGCGUUAUCCGGAUUUAUUGGGUUUAAAGGGUGCGCAGGCGGCGCGAUAAGUCAGCGGUGAAAUGUACCGGCUCAACCGGUGAGCUGCCGUUGAUACUGUCGUGCUUGAGUGCGAGCGGCGCCGGCGGAAUGAGUGAUGUAGCGGUGAAAUGCAUAGAUAUCACACAGAACACCGAUCGCGAAGGCAGCUGGCGAGGACGUUACUGACGCUGAGGCACGAAAGCGUGGGGAUCAAACAGGAUUAGAUACCCUGGUAGUCCACGCAGUAAACGAUGAUGACUUGUUGUCGGCGACAGACAGUCGGUGACAAAGCGAAAGCGAUAAGUCAUCCACCUGGGGAGUACGAUCGCAAGGUUGAAACUCAAAUGAAUUGACGGGG